rnacentral:tRNA from 1 species
GUUAGCUCAGUUGGUAGAGCACUUGGCUGUUAACCAGGGGGUCGUUGGUUCGAGUCCAAC